AGCAAAUUCAUAUUUAAAUGCUAUGACAAAUAUGAACACUACCACAAUUUAAUGAUUUCCCUUUAUAUUAAUUGAUGAAUACAAUUAUCUUAAAAUGUAUUCCAAUAAUGGCCCAAAAUCUAAAUAAAAACUCAAGAAUAACUACGUACCUGAAACCUAGAACCUCUGUGCGAUUAAAACUGGAUCCAUAUUUGUUUCGAUAAACUGUGUCCAGCUGUAAAAGUAAUAUAAGCAAUUUUAGCAAUUUAUCUUGAGAACUGAAAUGUUGACAAACAAUUUGAGGGAACGUGUUUGACAUAAUGACAAAUAUAAAAACUUAUUUGGGGGAUGAAAUGCCCCUUUAAGAACCUGACAGCUGUACAACUGAAGAUGAACAGUAUUAUUAAAAGAGUGGAAAGUAAAACAGAAUUUACCGCUGUAGCCACAGUACUUGCUAAUGCUUUGAACGCUGGUGAAGAAACAUUUUUCAAAUCUGCUUUGAAGUUUUGCUCCAAUUUGAAGUCCAACUUAACCUCUGGUGGUGGAGGGGCAGGUGUUCUGAUAGUAGUUGAGGAACCAGUUGUAACUGUGGUCAGAGCAACUGUGGUUGUUGUUGGAGUAGCUGUGGUUGUUUUGGGAGGAGCUGUGGUUCUUGUGGGAGCAGCUGUGGUUGUUGUGGGAGCAACUGUGGUUGUUGUGGGAGCAACUGUGGUUGUUGUGGGAGCAACUGUGGUUGUUGUGAGACCAGCUGUGGUUGUUAUUGGAGCAGCUAUGGUUGUUGUUGGAGUAGUUGUGGUUGUUGUAGGAACAGCUAAGGUAGUUGUGGGAGCAGCUGUGGUUGUUGUUGGAGCAGCUGUUGUUGUUAUGAGGGAACCUGUGGUUGUUGUGGGGGCAGCUGUGGUUGUUGUUGGAGCAGCUGUGGUUGUUGUUAGAGCACCUGUGGUUGCUGUUGGAGCAGCUGUUGUUGUUGGAGCAGCUGUGGUUGUUGUUGGACCAGCUGUGGUUGUUGUGAGACCAGCUGUGGUUGUUGUGGGAGCAACUGUGGUUGUUGUGGGAGCAACUGUGGUUGUUGUGGGAGCAACUGUGGUUGUUGUGGGAGCAACUGUGGUUGUUGUGAGACCAGCUGUGGUUGGUGUGAGACCAGCUGUGGUUGGUGUGAGACCAGCUGUGGUUGUUGUGAGACCAGCUGUGGUUGUUGUUGGAGCAGCUAUGGUUGUUAUUGGAGCAGCUGUGGUUGUUGUUGGAGUAGUUAUGGUUGUUGUAGGAAUAGCUGUGGUAGUUGUGGGAGCAGCUGUGGUUGUUGUGGGAGCAAGUGUGGUUGUUGUGGGAGCAAAUGUGUUUGUUGUUAGACCAGCUGUGGUUGUUAGGGGAGCAGCUGUGGUUGUUGCGGGAGCAGCUGUGGUUGUUGUGGGAGCAGCUGUGGUUGUUGUUGGAGCAGUUAUGGUUGUUGUAGCUGCAGCUGUUGUCGUCGUAGCAGCAGCUGAAGUUGCUAUGAGGGAACCUGUGGUUGUUGUUAGAGCAGCUGAGGUUGUUGUUAGAGCAGCUGUGGUUGUUGUUGGAGCAGCUGUGGUUGUUGUUGGAGCAGCUGUGGUUGUUGUUGGAGCAGCUGUGGUUGUUGUUGGAGCAGCUGUGGUUGUUGUUGGAGCAGCUGUGGUUGUUGUUGGAGCAGCUGUGGUUGUUGUAAGAGCAGCUAUGGUUGUUAUUGGAGCAGCUGUGGUUGUUGUUGGAGUAGUUAUGGUUGUUGUAGGAACAGCUAAGGUAGUUGUGGGAGCAGCUGUGGUUGUUGUGGGAGCAGCUGUGGUAGUUGUGGGAGCAACUGUGGUUGUUAUGAGACCAGUGGUGGUUGUUAGGGGAGCAGCUGUGGUUGUUGUUGGAGCAGUUAUGGUUGUUGUAGCUGCAGCUGUUGUCGUCGUAGCAGCAGCUGAGGUUGUUAUGAGGGAACCUGUGGUUGUUUUGGGGGCAGUUGUGGUUGUUGUUAGAGCAGCUGUGGUUGUUGUUAGAGCAGCUGUGGUUGUUGUUAGAGCAGCUGUGGUUGUUGUUGGAGCAGCUGUGGUUGUUGUAAGAGCAGCUAUGGUUGUUAUUGGAGCAGCUGUGGUUGUUGUAUUAGCAGCUAUGGUUGUUAUUGGAGCAGCUGUGGUUGUUGUUGGAGUAGUUAUGGUUGUUGUAGGAACAGCUAAGGUAGUUGUGGGAGCAGCUGUGGUAGUUGUGGGAGCAGCUGUGGUUGUUGUGGGAGCAGCUGUGGUUGUUGUGGGAGCAGCUGUGGUAGUUGUGGGAGCAACUGUGGUUGUAAUGAGACCAGUGGUGGUUGUUAGGGGAGCAGCUGUGGUUGUUGUUGGAGCAGUUAUGGUUGUUGUAGCUGCAGCUGUUGUCGUCGUAGCAGCAGCUGAGGUUGUUAUGAGGGAACCUGUGGUUGUUGUGGGGGCAGUUGUGGUUGUUGUUAGAGCAGCUGUGGUUGUUGUUAGAGCAGCUGUGGUUGUUGUUGGAGCAGCUGUGGUUGUUGUUGGAGCAGCUGUGGUUGUUGUAAGAGCAGCUAUGGUUGUUGUUGGAGCAACUGUGGUUGUUGUUGGAGCAGUUAUGGUUGUUGUAGGAACAGCUAAGGUAGUUGUGGGAACAGCUGUGGUUGUUGUGGGAGCAGCUGUGGUUGUUGUGGGAGCAGCUGUGGUAGUUGUGGGAGCAACUGUGGUUGUUGUGGGAGCAACUGUGGUUGUUGUGGGAGCAACUGUGGUUGUUGUGAGACCAGCGGUGGUUGUUAGGGGAGCAGCUGUGGUUGUUGUUGGAGCAGUUAUGGUUGUUAUAGCUGCAGCUGUUGUUGUCGUAGCAGCAGCUGAGGUUGUUAUUAGGGAACCUGUGGUUGUUGUGGGGGCAGCUGUGGUUGUUGUUAGAGCAGCUGUGGUUGUUGUUGGAGCAGUUGUUGUUGUUGGAGCAGCUGUGGUUGUUGUUGGACCAGCUGUGGUUGUUGUGAGAUCAGCUGUGGUUGUUGUAAGACCAGCUGUGGUUGUUGUGGGAGCAACUGUGGUUGUUGUGGGAGCAACUGUGGUUGUUGUGGGAGCAACUGUGGUUGUUGUGGGAGCAACUGUGGUUGUUGUGAGACCAGCUGUGGUUGUUGUGAGACCAGCUGUGGUUGUUGUUGGAGCAGCUGUGGUUGUUGUUGGAGCAGCUGUGGUUGUUGUUGGAGCAGCUGUGGUUGUUGUAAGAGCACCUAUGGUUGUUAUUGGAGCAGCUGUGGUUGUUGUUGGAGUAGUUAUGGUUGUUGUAGGAAUAGCUAAGGUAGUUGUGGGAGCAGCUGUGGUUGUUGUGGGAGCAGCUGUGGUUGUUGUGGGAGCAACUGUGGUUGUUGUGGGAGCAAAUGUGUUUGUUGUUAGACCAGCUGUGGUUGUUGUGGGAGCAGCUGUGGUUGUUGUGGGAGCAGUUGUGGUUGUUGUGGGAGCAGCUGUGGUUGUUGUGGGAGCAACUGUGGUUGUUAUGAGACCAGCGGUGGUUGUUAGGGGAGCAGCUGUGGUUGUUGUUGGAGCUGUUAUGGUUGUUGUAGCUGCAGCUGUUGUCGUCGUAGCAGCAGCUGAGGUUGUUAUGAAGGAACCUGUGGUUGUUGUUGGGGCAGCUGUGGUUGUUGUUAGGACAGCUGUGGUUGUUGUUAGAGCAGCUGUGGUUGUUGUUGGAGCAGCUGUGGUUGUUGUUGGAGCAGCUGUGGUUGUUGUGGGGGCAGCUGUGGUUGUUGUUAGAGCAGCUGUGGUUGUUGUUGGAGCAGCUGUGGUUGUUGUUGGAGCAGCUGUGGUUGUUGUUGGAGCAGCUGUGGUUGUUGUGAGACCAGCUGUUGUUGUUAGGGGAGCAGAUGUGGUUGUUGUUGGAGCAGUCAUGGUUGUUGUAGCUGCAGCUGUUGUUGUCGUAGCAUCAGCUGUGGUUGUUAUGAGGGAACCUGUGGUUGUUGUGGGAGAAGGUGUGACUGUUGUUAGAGCAGCUGUGGUUGUUGUGGGAGUAGCUGUGGUUGUUGUUGGAGAAGUUGUGGUUGUUGUUGUUGUUGGAGAAGUUAUAGUUGUCGUAGCAGCAGCAGUUGUUGUCGUAGCAGCAGCUGAGGUUGUUAUGAGGGAACCUGUGGUUGUUUUGGGGGCAUCUGUGGUUGUUGUUAGAGCAGCUGUGGUUGUUGUUAGAGCAGCUGUGGUUGUUGUUAGAGCAGCUGUGGUUGUUGUUAGAGCAGCUGUGGUUGUUGUUGGAGCAGCUGUGGUUGUUGUGGGAGAAGCUGUGGUUGUUGUGUGAGAAGGUGUGACUGUUAGAACAGAUAUGGUUGUUGCUGGAGAUGUUGUGGUUGUUGUCAGAGCAGUUAUGGUUGUUAUGGGAGCAGUUGUGGUUGUUUUUGGAACAUCUGGGGUUGUUGUGGGAGCAGCUGUGGUUGUUGUGGGAGCAACUGUGGUUGUUGUAUCCACAGCUGAAGUUGGUGUUGUGGCUGCUGGGAGUUGUGUUGUUUCGAUGACCUCUGU
ensembl:lncRNA